rnacentral:rRNA from 1 species
UACGAGGGGAGCAAGCGUUGUUCGGAUUUACUGGGCGUAAAGGGCGCGUAGGCGGCCACGACAAGUCACUUGUGAAAUCUCCGGGCUUAACUCGGAACGGUCAAGUGAUACUGUCGGGCUAGAGUACAGAAGGGGCAACUGGAAUUCUCGGUGUAGCGGUGAAAUGCGUAGAUAUCGAGAGGAACACCUGCGGCGAAGGCGGGUUGCUGGGCUGAUACUGACGCUGAUGCGCGAAAGCCAGGGGAGCGAACAGG